GCAGGAAUCAUGCCUCAGCGGCAGAGGAUAUGCUCUGCACGCAAAUAGUCCCAGGUUCAGUCCCUGGCAUCUGCA